CGUCGUCGAUCUGCUGCGGCGCGAUGAAGUGGAUAUGGCUGUCGAACCCGCCCGCGGUCAGGAUCUUGCCUUCGCCCGCGAUGGCCUCGGUCGAGGGGCCGAUGAUGAUGUCUACACCCGGUUGCGUAUCGGGAUUGCCCGCCUUGCCGAUCCUGGCAAUGCGCCCGUCGCGCAGGCCGACAUCCGCCUUGUAGAUGCCCGUGUGAUCCACGAUCAGCGCGUUGGUGAUGACCGUGUCCAUGGCCCCUUGCGCGCGCGUGACCUGAGACUGCCCCAUCCCGUCGCGGAUG
rnacentral:sRNA from 1 species